GACGAACCGUGCGAACGUUGUUCGGAAUCACUGGGCUUAAAGGGCGCGUAGGCGGACCAGCCAGUCCGGGGUGAAAGCUUUCGGCUCAACCGGAAAAGGGCCUUGGAUACUGCUGGUCUUGAGGGAGGUAGGGGCACGCGGAACUUCCGGUGGAGCGGUGAAAUGCGCAGAUAUCGGGAGGAACACCUAUGGCGAAGGCAGCUCGCUGGGACGUUACUGACGCUGAGACGCGAAAGCGUGGGGAGCAAACAGG
rnacentral:rRNA from 1 species